GACACUGUCGGAGCGGAAGGCGGAUAGGCUGGGGUCAGUUCUCACUAAAUUCACCUCAGUUCAUCGGGAUGGAGGCGGACUCGGUCAUCGAGGAUAAGACCAUUGAGCUCAUGUGUUCUGUGCCCAGGUCUUUGUGGCUAGGCUGCUCCAACCUGGUAGAGAGCAUGUGCGCACUGAGAUGCCUGCAGAGCAUGCCCAGUGUCAGAUGUCUCCAGAAUACAUCGGGUAUGGAGGAUCCGAAUGAAGAUGAGUCCCCAAAGAAGAAUACAGUAUGGCAGAUCACAAAUGGGCCCCCUUCCAUGAUCGUCCCCAGAAAGAGGCCAUCAGGAAACUACGAGAAAGAGAAGGAUUUGUGUAUUAAGUACUUUGACCAAUGGUCUGAAUCAGAUCAGGUGGAAUUUGUGGAGCACCUAAUCUCCCGGAUGUGUCAUUACCAGCAUGGACAUAUUAACUCCUAUCUGAAACCUAUGUUGCAGAGGGAUUUCAUCACUGCUUUACCAGCCCAAGGAUUGGACCAUAUAGCAGAAAACAUUCUAUCAUACCUGGAUGCCAAGUCACUGUGUGCUGCUGAGGUGGUGUGCAAAGAAUGGCAGCGGGUAAUUGGUGAGGGAAUGCUGUGGAAAAAGCUCAUUGAAAGAAUGGUACGCACGGACCCACUGUGGAGGGGACUUGCAGAGAGGAGGGGAUGGGAACAAUACCUGUUCAAAAAUAGGCCUGCAGAUGGCCCACCAAAUUCAUUUUACAGAGGAUUAUACCCAAAGAUCAUCCAGGAUAUAGAGACUAUAGAAUCCAAUUGGAGGUGUGGACGGCAUAAUCUUCAGAGAAUCCAGUGUCGGUCAGAAAAUAGCAAAGGUGUAUACUGUCUUCAGUAUGAUGAUGAGAAAAUAAUCAGUGGUCUGAGGGAUAACUCAAUUAAAAUUUGGGAUAAACAGUCAUUGGAAUGUUUGAAGAUAUUAACAGGUCACACAGGCUCUGUGCUUUGUCUGCAGUAUGAUGAGCGAGUUAUUGUUACUGGGUCAUCAGACUCCACAGUGAGGGUCUGGGAUGUGAAUACAGCGGAGGUUCUGAAUACGUUGAUACAUCACAAUGAAGCAGUAUUGCACCUUCGGUUCAGUAAUGGAUUGAUGGUUACAUGCUCAAAGGACAGAUCUAUAGCUGUGUGGGACAUGGCCUCUCCGACUGAUAUCACUCUGAGACGAGUCCUAGUUGGCCAUCGGGCAGCAGUCAAUGUGGUGGACUUUGAUGACAAGUACAUUGUAUCGGCAUCGGGUGACCGAACUAUUAAAGUGUGGAGCACAAGCACUUGUGAAUUUGUACGUACCUUGAAUGGCCACAAACGUGGAAUAGCGUGCCUUCAGUACCGGGACCGAUUGGUUGUCAGUGGCUCCUCCGACAACACCAUAAGGCAGCCCCCGGGUUACGUACGAGCUCCGUUCCUGAGAUCGUCUUCAAGUCGGAUUUGUAUGUUAUGGGACAUAGAAUGUGGUGCCUGUCUACGAGUCUUAGAAGGACAUGAAGAGUUAGUUCGAUGUAUUCGAUUUGAUAACAAAAGGAUCGUGAGUGGAGCUUAUGAUGGCAAAAUCAAAGUAUGGGACCUGCAAGCUGCCCUUGAUCCUCGUGCUCCAGCAAGUACUUUAUGUCUACGCACUUUGGUGGAACAUUCUGGUCGGGUAUUUCGACUUCAAUUUGAUGAAUUUCAGAUUAUCAGUAGUUCCCAUGAUGACACCAUUCUGAUCUGGGAUUUCUUGAACGUGCCAUCGAAUAACCAGAAUGAAACUCGUUCUCCAUCAAGGACGUACACCUAUAUCUCAAGAUAAUGGAAUAUGUGGUCACUACCUGGCUCAGCCUGCAGGUCGCCCUGAGGUGAGGUGUAACACUGAUCAGGGUCAUGUGAAGCCAUGGGAGCAGGUGGUGGAUGGUCAUAUGAGCAGCUGGUACAUAUCAUAAGUCGUGGUUAUGCGACCACUGACACCAGGCACUCCCUGAAGAUUAUUGAUAAUGGCUGGAUCACCCAUCCUGUAAAGACUCUGCCCACAAGAAAGCAAUGCACUUUUAGCAGGUGCUGUUCCUGAUCUUGACUGUUGUCUGUGUGGAACUUGCCUAUUCUCAGAUGCAACUGUAUGUUUCCUCAGGGGUGGUCUGGUUUCUUCACACAUGCUAAAGAUAUGAUGAUGGGGCUGGAAUUACUACUGGAUAUUAGCUAUGCAGAGCCUGAAGAUGACUAUGCUCAAACACCAUGUUUAGUUGUGGAGGCUUGGUUUCGCUAGAUGUGGAGAGAUUGAAACCAGCAAGAUAUCAGUACAGUACUUCAUGCCUUCUUUCCCCCAUUUCCCUUGCUCUCUCUCACUCAAAACCCCCUCUCCCCUUCAUUCAUUUGUUUCUUUCAUGGAGAACUCCAAAUAGGUUUUUUACUGCAGAACGUGCAAGACUGAAUGUCUAACAAGCCCUGUCUUACCCUAUAUAUUGAAAAGAGAGGUUUCUGGUUCCAAAAGCUAAGUGUUUCAGAAAUGGAUUGUUUGAACUCUCUGCCAAAUGCGUGAUUGGAGGAAGGACUUGGCCCAUUCAGUAUCGCUUUGCUCUUUGCCCCGAGGAAAGUCAUUUGUUGGAACAUUUGUUUCUUUGUUUGGGUGCCAUAUUGUUUUAGAACAACAUGCAGAACUUUUCAAAGCUUGGUAUGUAUUAGGAAGCAGUAUUCUGUAAAAUCUUGUAAAGAGGCCCCACAAUUUGGCUGCAUUUCUCUCAUUUUCAUUUAGAUUAUUAUUGGAUGCAUGUUCAGUACAAGGCAACAGUGCAUCAAAUAAAUUCCUAAUGUUGGUGUUUUUGAAUGGGGGUGGGGUUUCUUUUUUAUAUAUAUAUAUACAUAUAUAUAUUAUAUAGUAUAUAUAAUAUAUAUAGAACUAACAGUAAAUAGAAUUGGUAGCUGCUUAUAUAUUGAAAAUUACAUGCAGUUUGAGCUGUGGAAUGUAGCUAGUUGUAUAAGUGUUGUGUGUUGAUUGUAUAGUAACCAAUUUGAAGCUGCUCAUGAUUCCCCCCCCACCACCACCCCCUUCAGUGUUCCUGAAACUAACAGAGGGCUACGUUGCACUAACUGUGAAAAGCAUGUAUUUCUGCGUGGACUGCUGUGCCCCUUGCCUCCACCUCUCUUCAAAAUAGAGACACUAUGUGUUGAAAGUGGAACCCAACUUGAUUUUAAUCCCAGGUUAUUAAGCUUGUAUCUGUUCUCCUUUCAAGGAUUUCAUUUUUAAAGAAAAGUCCUGUUGAAAUUGUAUUUAAAAUUAUGUUUGAUUUAUUAAGAAAAGCUUGUUUAUCUUUCCUCCCUCACCCCAAUGCUUCAUCUCAACUUCCAAGCCUCCAGUAUAUAAUUAGGUGCAGUUCUAGGACCAAGUAAUUAUUGAAUAUCUCUUGUUUUUUGUACAUAUUCUGGAACCCUCUUUAUGUUUUAGCUGGAUCUGUUCAUCUGCUACCUAGCAGCAAGACAAGCUUUAGACUAAAUUAAAAAUGAUUCUCUCCUCCUUCCCACAACCGUUCAAAGAUUGCAAUUUCUUCAAACACAUUUUUGUAAAAGCUGAAAGAUAUGUUUCAAGACAUCUUGAUUAGCAUUAUAAUCCUUGUAAAGCAGUUUCUGUAAGUAAUGCCUCUACAGUCUGUGUAUGUUGCAAACAUUGUCACGGCCAAAGCUGAGAUUCUGUACUUCUCCUCUCCCCUGAGGAAGACGUUCAACUGCUUGUAUUUUACAUAUUUUGAGAGACAAGGUGUCUGGUCCCUCAAAAGUUGGUGUCUUGUUUGUAUUUGGGUGUAUAUUUUGUAAUGCUUUAAUUUAAGGACCUGUUUUGAAGACCUGUGCCCAGUAUAUCACUGCAAAGGAAUCUUUUCUCAGUUGGCAGCUGCAGAACAAUGUAGCAGGAAUGCAAGGAACCAAGAAUUAAGGAACUGUUGGACAUUGGCUGUACUCCGCGAGUAUGCUUACUGCUCACAGCUGUGGACCCCGUUGAAGGACAGUCCGGCUGAUGCUCUGAAAGGGUUGGGAUGCGAUGAUUAUGUCAUGUAAUUAUGUUUGAAACUCUAAACCCUGCCACCUUAACAGUUGAAAUAAGUAUAUAUGUCUGGACAGUUAAUUAAGACUGUUACAAAUGUUCAGAAAAUUGUUUAAGUUCAAGCUUUUACCGUGGAAUGUGCUUAAUAAAUUACUUCAGUUUCUGAAAA